rnacentral:rRNA from 1 species
AUUGAACGCUGGCGGCAGGCCUAACACAUGCAAGUCGAACGAGUGGCGGACGGGUGAGUAAUGUCUGGGAAACUGCCUGAUGGAGGGGGAUCACUACUGGAAACGGUAGCUAAUACCGCAUACCAUCAAAUGUGCCCAGGUGGGAUUAGCUAGUGGGAGGGGUAACGGCAGGCCAAGGCGACGAUCCCUAGCUGGUCUGAGAGGAUGACCAGCCACACUGGAACUGAGAAACGGUCCAGACUCCUACGGGAGGCAGCAGUGGGGAAUAUUGCACAAUGGGCGCAAGCCUGAUGCAGCCAUGCCGCGUGUAUGAAGAAGGCCUUCGGGUUGUAAAGUACUUUCAGCGGGGAGGCGUUACCCGCAGAAGAAGCACCGGCUAACUCCGUGCCAGCCGCCGCGGUAAUUC